ACACAUCAACUUUCCUGCAUAUAUUUUUCUCUCCUCGCCCCCCUCCCCCCUCUCUCUCCACCCGCCCCUUGAAUCUGCAGCAUGUCGCGUGGCACUGUCCCAUCCCUCUAUUAUCUGCCUUAUGCUCGUGUCCGCAUGUGAUAGUGAAAAAAAAGUGGUAUUUUUCGAAACACGAGGAAGCAAAAUCCAGACAGUUCGACUACCAAACCCAAAUGAUAUGAACAUUAAUGAGCACGUUAUUCAUAGUCUUUCGUAUGGCAAAUCAACAACUUGAAUAUCCUGCGAUACUUUCAACGAUUUUCGAUAACCUUCCAACAAACGAAUAUUAAUUAUCAACUAUUGCUUACUUCUUAUUUCGUUGGAAAUUUAUCAGAAGAAAUUUUCACGAAAAAAAACACUAAAUUCAAUGAAAAACGUUAGAGUCGAAGAAAGUUUGUUGAUUCCUCCCAAUCUCUCGGACAUUUAACCUUAUAUUUCUUUGAACGUAAGUUCGGGGUUGAAAACUGCCUCAAUUCUUCAUGAUAAAGCUGAUACGGAAGAAGAAAAAUAGUUUGGAGAAAACUAAAAAAUAAUUUUUCGUCAGUCGUUAUUUACAGUUUCACUGAAAGUAUACAACUACUAUGAUUUAUGGGGAUAAAUAGGCACGUGCCUCAUUCUCCAGAUUUAGAACUAUCUGAAAGAUAUUAGAAUUUGAAUACAGCCAGAUUAUAAAUUCAACAGAUGUGACAAAGUUCUGCAAAACGAUUUGAAAUACACUAGAGUGAUGCUGACAAAUUCUACUUGAGAUUUUUCAACAUCUUGCAAAGACGGAAACUCUACAUUGAACAACUACUGUCCAUAGAAACACCUCCUGGCUGGCUUUGAAGCUGACCAUAUGAAUAUUCAUUAUGAAUGAAGCCGAAUGAAGAGGGUGAAUACAAUGAAUAUAAUCUUAAAUGCCACGAAUGGAAUCAAAUGCUGAACAUAAUAUUCAAUAAAUUUUAAUCCUAUUCUUUAGUUCAUAAUUGUUUGUGAAUGUGUAGCGAACGAUCAACAAGCUUGUUUUAAUUAUCAA